rnacentral:RNase_P_RNA from 1 species
AAGGUGGCGCGAUCUGUCGCGGCGCUCAGGCGCUGAGGAAAGUCCGGACAGGAAAGGGCAGCCCGCUGUGGAAAGCACAGAUGGGAGCAAUCUUAUGCAGGCCGUAACAGAAAAUUACCGCCCGUAAGGGUAAGGGUGAAAACGUGAGGCAAGAGCUCACGACGGGGCGUGGCGACACGUCACGGGUACGGCACCGGGCCCUGCAAGACCAAAUAUACUGGCAGUCAAGGGUUGCCCGCCCGUUGCCAGGGGGUAGGUUGCGAAGAUAAAUGACAGAUUUAAAAACAGAAACCGGCUUACGGCGCCACCUUUUUU